CUCCCAUUCGGCAUUCUCUUUCUCUUCUCCACCACUUUAUUUUCUUUUCCUUACUUCCUUCUCUUUAUGAUUCCUCUAUGUCAGAGGGGGAAUUUUGAAGAGCCAUAGUUAGGGAAAGUGUAGAUCGUGGUGAGAACAAUGUUUUAACACCGGUCUUGCUAGCAUUUGAAGGGAUUUCGAGUUUGAGUUCUUGGCUAUGGAAAUGCUUUCUUGAUGUAGAGAGGAAAGCCAGAGAAGAUUUGGUGUAAGGCUUGCAAUUACGAACUUAGACGACGCUAGGAAUUUUAUUAUAUUGUAUUAUAACAUUGUAUUUAUGGCUAUGGCAACCUCAUUUAUGUACUUAAUUCCUUGAAAUUGUGUAAAGAUGAUUCAUA